GGGAUAAUUCUUCUAGCAGGGGGUGAUCGAGAGUCGGGGUUGGAUUGGUAUUGAUGCUGUCCAGUGGGGGGCGGUGUAGUUGGGGAAGGGCAGGGUUGUUGUUGUCCAGCAGGGGGCAGUCUAGUUGGGGAAGGGUAAGGUUGGAGUGGUCCAGCAGGGGGCAGUCUAGUUGGGGAAGGGUAAGGUUGGAGUGGUCCAGCAGGGGGCAGUCUAGUUGGGGAAGGGUAAGGUUGGAGUGGUCCAGCAGGGGGCAGUCUAGUUGGGGAAGGGUAAGGUUGGUGUGGUCCAGUAGGGGGCAGUCUAGUUGGGGAAGGGUAAGGUUGGAGUGG
ensembl:lncRNA